rnacentral:lncRNA from 1 species
UUGAUUUUAACCGAGUUGAAAACGAAGAUGAAGUUUCGAAAAGGAAAAUGGUAAUAGUUGGCCUGUGGUGCAUACAAACUGAUCCUAAAACUAGACCAUCAAUGAGCAAGGUUAUAAAAAUGUUAGAAGGGAGUAUGGAAUCUCUUCAAAUCCCACCAAAACCCUACUUUUUACAGCCAAGAGCAGCAGAAAACUUUUCAACUAGUGAGUCGCUAGUCACUCUCUCCUAGGUUCAUGAAGUUUAGCUUCUUGGAAUCCCACGGUGUUUGGUGGCUCCUAUUUACUGCACAAUAUAGGCAGUUAUCUAUGUUGUUUUGCUAUUGUAAUUUUUAAGUUGUUAACACAUCUCCUGUCUCAAUGUUUAUUAAAUUUCUUCUUGGAGAUCAAGCUUGGCAAUUCAUGAGCAUAAUGUUUAUUUCUAUGUCAUAUUGAGCUUGAUUGCAGAUAUCAUUCCAAUUCCCAGGUACUCCAUGACUUCCACCCAUGGAAGAUCUUGUAGGUUUCUGGCUUUGAGAAUGAGGCUGCGCAUAGUAGCCAUCAUGGGUGCAACAUCUGAUACUCUGUCCACUCGUGAAAGAGUCGAAACUUUUCUCUAAAAAUUCAGCUUUUAGAAUUUUCUCCACGUUUUAUGUAAAAACUAAAAUGAUUAUACUUUUGAACAGGUGAAAAGUACAUUUCUCGUGCAGCCAAAAUCUGAUAACUUUUCCCUUUUAUAUCAGUUAUAAGUCUCCACUUUAAUGUAACAAAAUAUAGAACUUCCUCCUCCAAGAAGUUUCUUUUUGCCCUGUUCUUCAUUUUAUUGCUGAUUUUGAUUUGUUUCUGGUGGUCUUAGUACAGAUUUUUCUGUGUUCUUUCAUAGAAAAGUUAUCGACUUGACAGUCUGGCAAGAGGUACAAGUAAUCCUUCAGAAUGACAGGAAUAAUGUAGGAAUCAUGCACCGCCAGUUGCAGCUUGGGUGUUUUUCGAGCUUUCCAAGUUCUAACCCUUGAACUGAAUAAGGGAGAACCUGUCCGCCUUACACAAAUGUGCAAAUGUCCAAUUGACAUUUGCCUCAACUUCAUGUGUCACAUUUUAGCCAUCGUUUCAAGGGUUGUGAUGGGGAAGGCCCCAUUUUUAAUAGCAUUUAUGUCUGCAUGUAAUUCCAUUUAGGAUUGAUUAUGUCAAGAUAGUCCAAAGGAUCUCUUUUAAGAUCAUGCCCCGUUCGAGUCUCUUUCUCUAAAAAUUUAUUAUUUUUUUAAACUCAUUUUCAAUCACAUAUUCUUCCAAUAAAAUAAUUCAAAACAUUUUCCUACUUUUUCAUCACACAUUCUAAAGAAAAACACUAUUAUAAAAUUCAUUUUUUCCAAAAUGCACAAACUAACAUCCUCAAAUCUAGAUACCCAAAUUGAGAAGUAUUAUUAUUUAAUUCUCUUAAGAUCAUAAAUGCGAAAAACGAUUAGAUAUUUCUUUAACAUAAUAAAUAUCAAUGACUUUGAAGAUAUUUUGUACACCGUUUGGUACUAAUUUAAAUCAUAUUUAUCUAAAUCAAAGUCAAACAAUCAAUUUUAACCACAUAUUUCAUGGGUCCCACAACUUUUCAACCAUAAAUUUCAAAAAAGUUUAUCAAAAUCUACUAAAAUCUAAUUUUAAUACCUACCAAAUAGGGGCCUAAUAAAAAUAUAAGACAAUUAAAUUAAAUAUUAACUUUAUUUUCAAAAUGAAUUCAAUAUUUAAAUGUGAUAGUACUAAGUUCGUUGCACCACAAGUACUCGUCUCGGAUCAUUUUCUUGCCUUCAUUAUCUGAAAAAUGGGAAGAGAUAACACGGAAUGAGCUAACACUCAAUAAACAAAUCUUGUACAUAUGAUGCAUGUUUAUGAUAUGCAUAUGCUUAAUUUUAAAAUAAAUAACUUUUUUUUCAACAUGUGCCCCCUUUCUUUAAUUUUAUUUUUUCAUUUUUUAAUAAUGAUAAUGUGAGCUUACUUUAGUGUAUCGGUUAACCCAUCAGAAUACAAUGGACAAUUAUUAUUUGGAACUCGAUUCAUUCUACCGACAGUAUUGCAAAGUGGUUAACAUUAACAUUAAACAUUUAACAUUGGUUAGAUGCAUCAAUCCCCUACGUCCUAUUUUCCACUCACACCUUUAAUGAAAUAGACGUACACUUCUUAGCAAAAACAUCCGGGAUACAUAUUUUUUUAUAAUAUUUAUUGACUCAUUGAUAUUUGAAAACUUUUUAUUUCUUAAAACUUUAAGUGUGCUUAUAGAUGCAUUGACAUACAUGAAUAUGUCAUGAGAAGCACUAAUGACAUAAAACAUAAUAAUCAAAUAUCAUAUUCACAUAAUAGGAACUUUAGGUAACACAUUUGUACAUUUAACAAUGUAACAUAUGCAUGAAGACAAAGGAAGGUUUACUUACUUGAAAUUGAUUGAAAUUUAAAUUUGAAUGGCAAGUAAGGAUGCUCCCGCUUACGAAGUUAAUGUAUCAAAAAUACUAGCUCAUUAUCAUCUAUUUGUAAACUUCAACAAUAUGAUUAGACAUCACUCCAGUCUAGACCAUUGUUCUAAUAAUUUAAAUUUACUUGUUAUUGUUUUCAUUAAAUUCCAAGUCUUAAAGAAAACUGUAGAGAAUUAUAAGAACUAAAAGGGAACCUACUAUUGAAACAAAACAGUUUUGUCCCAUAUGGGUCAUGUUUGGUUAAAUUUCUAACGAUGAAAUAGUUUCUUUCUCUACUUAAAUUAAUGCUUUUAUAACACUAGAAUAGAGAGACAAGAAGAAAAGUGAAAACUGUUACUGAUCAUAUAUAGCGGUCCAAUGAGGUCCACAUGGAAGCCCCAUAUUCAUACGCAUGGCAUUGGGUCGAGUAAAAGAAGAGUUAUGGACGAGAUCAAUAGGCGAGGUUGUUGCAUUGAAUGUUGAGCUCAUUUUACUAGAAUUCUCCAAAGUGGUUCUAGCCUUUGAUCGCGCGAAGUGGGAUUACUUAUUUCUGCCGAACCCCAUAGCUUCUGAAGUCCUUGACACUCGGAAAAGGGUUUGAUAAGCGUAUCUUAGGGAUUGAUUGAUGUGACGUUCUCAUUAAAUAAGUGUCAAGAAUGUUAGCCUAGGGAUAUAGAGUGGUUGGCCCCUUGUUCUGUUAAUGUAAUUAAUGUGAGGUAGAGUUAAUGUGAUGUCAGGGUCUAAUAGAUUAAUGUGAUGCCAGGGUCUAAUAGAUCAGGCCACGUGGAUCGGAUCUAACGAUAACCACAUCGGCCUGAUCACUAUAAAUAGCUAAUUCUUGUAUCAUUUUGAACAUAAAAAGAAAACAUUAUAUAUUUCUCCAUAUAAAAAGAAAACAUUAUAUAUUUCUCCAUAUAAAAUUAUCCAUUGCUUCCACCUUCUUCUUCCACAAAUAUACACAUUUACAAUCAACAUUACAAAAUAAGUCCACGUGUAUAUUGUCUUUGAACGACAUUUUUUGAUCAUUUUUGGAGGUCAACAAAGACUAUAAGUUGAAGGACUUCAUUCAAUUUAGACUAUGUAGAUAGAAAAAAGGAAAAAAAAGUGAUGGCAAUAGACAAUAUAUACGUGCAAAAUCGAUUAUGUUAGCAACAUUCAAUACAAAGCCAAAAUAUGAAAUAUGCAGGGCUUAGAAAAUAAAAUAAACUGUAGAUCAUAUAUUAUUCUAGAAACUAAAAUAGUUACCAAAAAUAAAACGAAGAAACUAGGUUCUUAAUCUCAAAAGCCAAAUUAAAACUUAGCUAGUGCACAUCUAUUUUUUUUUUUUUUUCAAACUCUAAAAAUACUGUCCGGUUCAACCCAUUUUUCACACUAGUUAUCUACAAUCUAUAUCCUACAUUUUAUAGUUUAAAUUACUCAUUCUCAAUUCAAUUCCUUAUUUCGUUAUUCAAUUAUCAAUCUAUUCAAUUCAUCUAUUAUAUUUCUCAUUCCUUAUAUUUUCUCACUUUAUCUCAAUUUUAUAAUUCAUCUAUUGUAUUAUAUACUUUUAUUUCAUAUUUAUACAUUUCAAUUUCAUUUUACACAAAUGGAACCCAAUAUUUAUGUUGAGUGUUUGUUUAGUGAUAACUCACCAUUGACACCACAAUUUCAAUUCCAUAAUGAUUUAGACAUCAGCGAUGUACAUGAGGAAUAGACAUCCAAUUGAUAUAGAUGGUAUUGAUGAAAAAGCGGAACUCGAAAUAAUUGAUGCAAGAGGGAAUCGAAAAUUUAAACAAACUGAAAAGUAUUGGGAACACUUCAAUUUGGUUUCAACGGGUCAUACAGUCUGCGGAGUCCAAGAAUCUAAAGCAACUUGUAAAUAUUGUCAAAUAUAAUUGACAUAGCAAAAGGGAAUCGAAACUACUCACCUUAACCGUUACUACAAGAAAUGUUCAACCAAACAUGGACUUAUUGGCCAUACACAAACACAACUUCAAUUUGGUACUCCCUUGAUAAUUGUAUUUUAUACACUUAUUCGGUACCUUAAAUAGAAAUAUUUGAUGGUUCUUUUGACAAAUUAUAUCCUUUGUAUUUUAUGUUUAAUAGGUAAAAUUUUAUGAAGGAAAGAAGCAAAAGCAUGCAAAAUUGGAGAAAAGAAUUAAAUCGCAUGAAAUCCAAAGUUCGGGGGCUAAAGUGCAAAUAUUCAAAAGUUGUGUUGAAGCUCAAGAUGAAGAUCCGAGAGUGUUAAGAGUUAAUUGGAUGAAGAAAGAUAUCAAAGGGGUCAAAUUUAAGCAAAAUAUGAUCACAAAUCAAUUUCCAACCGAAAAGCUAUGCUCUAGAAUUUUAGGCUCACAUUAAGACCCAUUUUUGACAUGGAAAGCGAUUCAAUCGAGAAUGAUGUCUCAAGCAAAAUUGUAGCACUUUGAGUUAUCUUUCCAAAACAUCUUGAAUCACCUCAAUUAAAUAACAAGAGAGAAAGUUAUGCUAAAAAUACUGAAAGAAGUACGUGUUAUCUAUUCGAAAAGUGGCACUGGAGAUUCAGAGAGGUGGCGCCAUUUUUGGUGUGAAGCUGUGAUGCUGCAUUUCAAGCGUCACGACACCGCAUCCCAGAUGCGUUAGGGCACAAUUUUGGCCCCUUUUUGAGUCCAUAUGAAAACCCUAUUCUUCCAACACGGCAAGGGACCUAUAAAUAUUAAAUUCCUCACACUUUAAGGGGGUUCUACAGAUUCUAGAGGCAAAAACACUUCUUAAGAGAAAUGGGGAGAGAUUCAAAGGGAGAAGACAACUCCAAAUUCAUCGUGUGAAGCAUAAAUUGGAAGGAGAAAUUCUUGGUACAAGAUCCACUUUUUCUUCUACAUACUCUUAUUAAAAAUUCGGUGAUGUACUCUAAGAUAAUUUGUUGUUGCUCUUCUUUUAUUAUGCAUAGCUAAAUCCAUUGUUAGGGCGAAUAAUGUAACCAAUUUCAGAUCCUUUAUAUUUUCUUAUUAAGAUUCUUGGAUUUUAAUUUUUCCAUGUGUUGAUUCUUGCUAUGGACUGAUUGCAUUAAAUUAUCUGAUUGAUAAUUUGAUAAAUUUUGUGAAUCCUUUACAAAUAGAGAUAUGAGUUUAGGAUUUAGACCAUGUACUAAAAUCUAGUAAUUGGUAUAAUGAGUAGAGAUACCUAUGACAUUUAUUGCGGUCAUUAUUAAAAUCCUAGGAUGAAGAAAUCGUUUAACUAAGUUAAAUUUGCAUAGAGAUAUGAAAUUUAAUUAGUUGAAUAUGCUCAAUGAGAACUUGAAGGGGUAAAUUGAAUACAAUAGGAGAAUUCGAUCAAACACUACAUUAGAAUUGAGUCUUAAUUUGAGAUGUAAAGGUAAUCAAUAUGUGAAAUUAUUCUGUCCUAACGUCCUCUAAUUAUUUGAUCUUACAAAUAAGUGUGUGAGAAUUUAUUUAUUGUUUAGAAUUAAGAUUUAAACUCAAAUCACUAUAACUUUUAAUUUAUUUUCAUCAAAUAGUAGUUAAAAGAAAACUGAAUUAAAUACUAGAAAAUAGUCAUUGUGGGAUCGACAAUCCGAACUCUUAGGUCCACUAUUACUCGUUACGAUUCAUACACUUGCGAAACUAAAAUAUACAACAAGUUUUUGGCGCCGUUGCCGGGGACUAUUACUUUUAGUCUUAAUUUAUUUUUAUUUUUAAUUGUUAUUUGAUUUUUUUUUCUUUUAUUUACAGAAAAUUGUGUUCAUUGUAUGUUCCGUGCUCAAGGCGACGAUCUUGAACCAUUUGAUUAAGAGAUAGAACGUACAUUCAGACGAAGAUGCAAAGAACACAAACAAAAACAGCAUCAUCAAGUGACUGACAAUCAACAAAUCCCUAUCCCUAUUCAGCUGAUUAGACAAAUGGCCGCAAGAGUGGUGGCACCACCGGAACAGCAGCAUGAGCGAGGGGAAGUAAAUGAAGUUGAUUUGCCAGUAUCAAUGUUCCUGACACCUAUAGCAGCACCCAUGCGCUCCAAUAUCAUGUAUCCAGAUUUUCGGGUGAAUAACUUUCAGAUCAGGCCAAAUUGGAUUAACUUGAUGAGCAACACUCUCCAAUUCUACGAGUUACCUCAUGAAAAUUCGAACACUCAUAUCUCCAGAUUUCUCGGGAACUAUCAGAACUUUCAUGCUCUGGGAGUCAAUGAAGAUGCUAUUAAACUACGAUUAUUUUCAUUUACAUUGAGAGAUGCUGCAUUGGAAUGGUUAGAUGUUGAGCCUCAUGGGAGCAUUACUACAUGGGAAAAAUUGACCAGAAAAUUUUGCAACAAAUUCUUCCCAUCGGCCACAGUAGCUAAAAUCAAAUUGGAAACUCAAACUUUUCAACAGAAAGAUGGAGAAAGCUAUCACGAGGCACGGAAUAGAUUUAAUGAGCUAAUGAGAAAAAAGUCCAAACCAUGGAAUCACUCUAGGAAACCAAGUGCGGUACUUCUACACCGGACUUACACCUCUGUCAAAAUCUCAAGUUGAUGCCUCUGCUGGUGGAUCAAUCAUAGGGAAAUUAGUAUAACAAACCAUGGACCUAUUUGAGUAAAUUGCCACCACACAUUUAAUGUUCUCAUCAGAAAGAGUGGUACCACCAAAGGCAACAGGAAUGCAUGACAGCACAACAUCUGCUAAUGCACAGAUAGUAGCUUUAACAAAACAGGUAGAGAUACUUGUAAAAUUGCAAACAUAUGGAGUAAAUGUAAUGAUGGCCAUUUCAACAUGUGAGAAUUGUGGGAGAAAUCACUCUACAGAGAGCUGCAUGAUGCUCACUUCUUCAGAGGAACAAGUAAAAUUAAUUCAAAAUAACUCCCAUAAGUUCAACUCAUAUGGGAAUAAUUUCCAACAAGAAAGAAGACUAAGUUUGGGAAAGAUGUUUCAACAAUAUGUGCAGAAGGCAGACAAGAUGUUCCAGCAAAUUGACACGAACUUUCAAAAUUAGCAGGCAUCCAUCAAGAAACUGGAGACACAAAUUGGUCAGAUAGCGCAACAACUUGUAGAUCGUCCACAAGGGACUUUGCCAGGCAAUACAAUGAUAAAUCCCAAGGAACAGAUGAUGGCAAUUAAAAUAGUGGAGAACGAACUACCCAGGGCCCCCGUGAAAGUUUGAAGCGUAUGUACAUCCACUCUCGUUUCCCCAAAGACUUCGAAAGAAGUCGAUGGAGCAAAAUAUUCAUGUUAUAAAUACAAAGAGCGAGGUACAAUCGCCAGAGAUCACUACUGAGAGACCCAAAAGAAAAGAUGACCAGGAAGUGAUUGAUGAAGCUACAAGGGUAGAAAAAUUUGCACCAAACGCAACUGAAAAUGGAGAAAAUACAGAAACAUCAGCUGCCAAAACACCAAGUCUAGACAAAGCUUAUAUAUCUCCCAAUCCCUUUCCUCAAAAGCUCAAGAAAAACAAACAAGACACAUUAUGAAAAAUUCCUCGAUGUUCUCAAAAAGCUCCAGAUCAAUGUUCCGUUCAUUGAUGCGAUACUACAAAUUCCAAGCUACACAAAAUUUUUGAAAGAGAUGUUGACAAAGAAAAGAAAGCUUCCGGAGUUUAAAACUAUGGCAUUAACUGAGGAAAGUAGUGCAAGAGUCCAGAGAAAAUUGCCUCCUAAAUUGAAAGAUCCAGGGAGUUUUACUUUACCAAUUUCAAUUAGAAAUUCCUGUUCAAUUAAUACAUUGUGUGACACUAGUGCUAGUAUCAAUCUAAUGUCAUAUUUUGCUUACUUAGAAAUUGGGACUGGGUGAAGUCAACUCACCAUCAAUAAUGCUACAGCUAGUUGAUAGAACAAUCGUAAAACCACGUGGCAAAGUUGAGGAUGUACUCGUAAAAGUAGGAAAUUUAAUAUUUCCUGUGGAUUUCAUUGUAUUGGACAUCCCAAAAAAUCGAGACAUUCCAAUUAUAUUGGGUCGGCUGUUCAGGAAAUUAUUUCUUUCGAUUUAAAACUACCGCAGGUGUACGGCUUAUUAACAAGUAAUAAAGUGGAUUAAAUGAGUUCGAAUAUCGUUCCACAGAGAUUGAUUAGUUCAAUUUUACCUAUCGUCACCUUAAUCGAAACUAAAUUACUAAAGUGGAUGUUAACCUAAUUAAAACCCUAAUUUUGGAAAGAAAAUCCUAAUUAUGCAAUUUUCAUUAAGUAUGCAAAACAAUAUUUUUAAUACUCUAGAAUGAAAUCAAAUGUUGAGAACGCAUGUUUGCUGUAAUCAAUAGGAAUUAAACACACUAGGAUCACUAUUUCUCGUGCAAUUAUCACUUUAAAACCUUAGUUUCACAAUAUGACAACACACUUCAAUUGUGACGAAUCAAUGUUCCUAAAUCUAUCAAAUACUCUCUCUCGAGAUGUAUCAAACCUAUUUCUACAUACCACCGGCCUAUAUUUCUAUGACAAGUGCAUAUGUAAACAUACAUGCGAUUUUAUGAAUACUUAAAGAUUCACGUAGGGCAUAGAGGUAUAUUUCUAUCCCCUAUCGGACCCUACGAUGAUUUAUAUUAUGUCAAACUUAUUUCAAUUCUCUAGAAUGUAAGAAUACAUCACCCAAACUCACACAAUUACGGGUCCUUAAUUGCGAAAACAAUAAUUGCAUAUAAAUCAUUCAAAUCAAUAGAAAUAUGUCUUAAUGUCAAAUUGUAAAACUAGAAAAUUAAAGAUCAAAUUACAUGGUAUAUCGAUCUCCUAACACAUAAAAAUCUAGCCUAACAUGGUUAAAAUAAAAUAAUACAUCAGAUUUUGGAUAAAAGGCAUUAUCAGACUAUGAAAUCUUGAGAAAUCUUGAAACUCUUCCUGUAAAUCUUCGUUCUUGUGCUCAAAAUCCUCUCCAAGAAGUGUUUUUCUGCUUCCAAUACCGUUCUCCCUCUUUUUGGAGGUUUUUUGGUAUUUAUAUCGCGUGAAAAUUAGGUUAUCAAAAGAGUUUCAGUCGUAUAAGGAAACUACAGAAUCGGCCCCGAAUCUUGUUCUAUGCGAUUGCAUAGAGUAAAAAAAAUUGAGAAAAAAUUCUCGGGAGGCCUCUAUGCGACCGCAUAGAAGUUUAUACUAUGCGACCGCAUAGUUAUGCGAUUCUUUCCGCCGAAUAGCUUUUAGUAUUUUGGUCAUGAUUUUUUCUCUUGAUUUCCGAUUGAAGUGAUUCAAAGCUCAUUGGGAAGAAAACUCAAAUAUAUACACUUUUGAUAGAAAUAGACUUCCUCAAAAUCUGAUGUUUACUAUGUCAAAAAUGGAUCUCAAGUAGAAACUAAAAAUCACAAGAAUAGUUUUUUCGCCUGAAAGUUGAUACUUAAUAAUACUUCGAUCAUAUUUCACCUCUUUGACUUCGUUCCUCAUCCAAUUGACCUCUAACACUCUUGAGCCUUAAUUCCGUUUCCUGUCUCAUCUAUAGAUUAUUUGCAACUUGGUCCCCGAACAUUCAGUUUGAUUCAUUUUGGUCCUUUUUGCUUGUUUCUUUUAUUUCCAUCAUCUCAUAAUAUCACCAAAUUGGUACUUAGCUCAUUCACUUCCUUGAUUUGUCCCUCAAACUUUGGAUAAUUGCACUUUGGUCCCUAAGCUAUCACUUUGCUCCAUUUUAGUCCUUUUUCGGCUCUUUUAUCCUGAAUUCCAUCAUUUCCAUAGAAACACCUACAUUGCAUGAAUUCAAUGAGAUUAAGUCACAAUUUAAAUAUUUUUUCUGUAAUUAAAUCAUGUUUGUGAUCUAAAUAAGUGUGCAAAAACACACUUAUCAUAGGCCAUUCUUAGCAACAGGACGAAUCCUUAUUGAUAUGGAAAAUGGAGAACUAAUCUUGAGGGUGGAGGACAAGCAGGAGAUAUUCAAUAUUUACACCCAACAUGAGAAACCUCCCAAUAAAAAUGAUUGCUAUAGAAUUGAUGAAGAAGAGCCACCUGAUCAACGAAGCUGUCAGAACAAAAAACCAAAUCUUGGGGAAUUUCUUGGUAGAGAUGAGAAUGGACAAAUCAAAAUCUGGAGAGCAAAAAAGGGUUGCAUGAAUAAAAAUUGCACAGAGUGCAAUAAUGGAAUAACUUGGUUUAAGCCACCAUGAUAAAUCAGCGGCACAAGUCAAGCUAAUGACUUAAAAGAAGCGCUUCUUGGGAGGCAACCCAAGCUUUUAUUUUAUUUAAUUUAUUUUGUUUUCAAAGUUAUAGGAUAGUUUAAUUUAUGGUUUAUUCAGGAAUCAUUACCCAUACCCUUUUUACCCAUAGGUCUUCGAGUAAUUAAGUGGUUAUUAGAUGUUUGAGCUAAGUAACUCUUGUUCCAUGAGUUUAAAUUUUUCAAAUUUUAUUUUUCAGGAACAUGACGUCGCGGAACACUCAAACCAACAUGGACAUGGAAAAAAUGGAACAAAUCUCAAGUUUGAGGGAGAAUGUGGAAGAAGAAUCGAUCAAAUGCAACACCAAGGCACUACAACAUCAUAGGCAAUACAGACAUUUCAGGGAAGCCUCCUCAUUUUCCUUUAACUUUCACAUUGAAGACAAUGUUUAGUUUAAAUUUGGGGGAGUGUAUUUUUAUUAAUUACCUUAUUGCCUACCUAAAAUUUUUGUGUGAGUUGGAUAGUUUGGCUUAUAAUUACGUUUUACUUUGAGAUUUGGUGUUGAUUUAUGAACUGUGGAUAGGAUACAUGCUAGAUUAAUUGAUGCUCAACCUUGUAAAACUUGAAAUAAUACAUGCAAUAGAAUUGAGUCUAACACUAUGAUGAAACGAGUUGAUUGAUUUGUUACAUAGGUUGAUUUAAAUAGACAUAGAUGCUUUACCUAAAUCAUAAUAAAUUAUAUAUCCUUAGACCAAAUUUAGAACAGUUUGGGGGCAUUUUACAGUUGUAGAAAGAUGCGGAUGUGAAUGUAGAUUCCAUAUGUGAAAAUUUAUGUGUGGAUUAUCUUAGACUAACAUAAUGAAACGAGGCGAAAGUCUUAAGUUGGAGGUUAGUUUGUUUGAAUAAGUGUGUAAAAUGGGCAUUGUACUAAUCAAGGCAUAUACAUUUGAAAUUUAAAAACUUUUCUUUGAAGUCUUCAUGACUCGAGUAAUUAAGCUUGCAAGAGUAUCUUAAAAUCUGAUGCCCUAAAGUCGUCUAACUUAGGAGUCAUCGGUGUAAAACUCACUACAUGGGUCAUUUACAAGGCAAUAAAAGAUGAAAUUGUAAUUGAAAUGAAAAUUGGUUCUCUUCGAAACCUUUUUGACUCGGGUCAGUAAACCUAUAAGGGUGUUUAAAAUCUGGUGCCCUAAAAUCAUUUGAUUUGGGAGUCAUCGGCCUAAAGCCUACUACAGGGGUCAUCUAGAAAGAUUAAUGAAGAGAAUACAAAUAAAUAAAUAAAUAAAUAAAUGUAAAAAUCAGAAAAAACAAGUGCAUAAAAAGAGUAAAAGCACUAAAUACAUUGGUUAAGCCCAAUACUUGUUUGAGAGAAUUUGACUUUCGAUGAAGGAUAAUUAGCUAGUUGAGUUGUGAUGGUCAAAGCAAUCAAAUAAUUAGAGAAUCCCUAUUCAUUGAAGUGUUGACUUGCAACUAGUAACGUCCACUUAAACUCUAGAAGGUAAGGAUAAUAAUGAAAUAUUAGACAUUGGAAAGGAGUGAAAAAGAACAAGUUUGGGGGUGUGUGAAUCUUACGAGUGAUGAAAGGACAUAUAUGACCAUGAAGGAUCAGGAAUUGGAACAACUUGUUAAUUCAUUAAUGUCUACUUAAUUCUUUAUGCACACACGUCGAUUUUGCAUUGGAAGAGUGAAUAUUAGUUUGGUAUUGUAACUUUGAAGCAUGUUCGUGGAAUUAACACUUAAAUCUUGAAUCCUGAGGUGAAAAGCUAGAUUGUCCAAUCAAAUAUUUUUGCAUGAUUGUGUGUUUACUACUAUUUAGUUUAUAGUUUUGUUUGAGGACAAACAAAUGUUUAAGUUUGGGGGGGUAUUUGAUAAGUAUAUUCUAUACACUAAUUUGGUACCUUAAAUAGCAAUAUUCGAUGGUUCUUUCGACAAAUUAUAUCCUAAAUAUUUGUAUUUUAUGUUUAAUAGGUAAAAUUUUAUGAAGGAAAAGGACUUGAAGGAAAGAAGCAAAAUUGGAUAAAAGAGCUAAAUCGUAUGAAAUCCAAAGUUAGAGGACUAAAGUGUAAAUAUUCAAAAGCUGUAUCAAACCUCAUGAUGAAGAUCUGAGAGUUUUAGGAGUUAAAUGGAUGAAGAAAGAUGUCAAAGGGAUCAAAUUUAAGCAAAAUAUGAUCACAAACCAAUUUCCAACCGAAAAGCUAUGCUCUGAAAUUUUAGCCUCAGAUUAAGACCCAUUUUUGACAUUGAAAAUGAUCAAAUCGGAGAAUGAUGUCUGAGAAAAGUUGUAUUCCUUUGCGUUUUCUUUCCAACGCAUCUUGGAUCGCCUCAAUUGAAUAUCGGGAGAGAAAGUUAUGCUAAAAAUACUGAAAGAGGUGCGUGCAGUCUAUUCGAAAAGUGGCUCCACAACGCCACUUUAGGGCGCUGUGACGCUGUAUUCCAGGCGUCGCGGCACCACAUCCCAGAUGCGUUAGGGAGCUAUUUCAGCCCGUUUUUGAGUCCAUAUGAAAACCCUAUUCUUCCAACAUGGCAAGGGACCUAUAAAUACGAAAUUUCUCACUUUAAGGGGGUUCUACAGAUUCUAAAGACAAAAACACUUCUUAAGAGAAAGGAGGAGAGAUUCAAAGGAAGAAGACAACGCCAACUUCAUCGUGUGGAGCAUAAAUUGGAAGAAGGAUGAAUUCUUGGUGCAAGAUCCACUUUUUCUUCUACAUACUCUUAUUAUAAAUCCGGUGAUGUACUUUAAGAAAAUUUGUUGUUGUUCUUCUUUUAUUAUGCGUAGAUAAAUCCAUUAUUAGGGCGAAUAAUGUAACCAAUUUGAGAUCCUUUAUAUUUUCUUAUUAAGAUUCUUGGAUUUUAAUUUUUCCAUGUGUUAAUUCUUGCUAUGGAUUGAUUGCAUUAAAUUAUUUGAUCGAUAAUUUGAUAAAUUUUGUGAAUCCUUUACGAAUGGAGAUUUGAGUUUAAGAUUUAGACCAUGUAGUAAAAUUCAGUACAUUUUUAUAACAAGUAGAGAUACAUAUGCCAUUUAUUGCGGUCAUUAUUGAAUUCCUAGGACAAGAAAUCGUUUAACUAAGUUAAAUUUACAUAGAGAUAUGGAAUUUAAUUAGUUGAAUAGGCUCAAUGAGAACUCAAGAGGGAUAAAUUGAAUACAAUAACAGAAUUCGACCGAACACUACAUUAGAACUGAGUCUUAAUUUGAAAUGUAAAGGUGAUCAAUAGGUGAAAUUAUUUUGCCCUAACAUCCUCUAAUUAUUUGAUCUUACAAACAAUUGUGUGAGAAUUUAUUUAUUGUCUAGAAUUAAGAUUUAAACUCAAAUCACUAUAACUUUUAAUUUGUUUUCAUCAAAUAGUAGUUAAAGGAAAAUUGAAUUAAAUACUAGAAAAUAGUCCUAGUGGGAUCGACAAUCUAGACUCUUAGGUCCACUAUUACUUGUUACGGUUCGUACACUUGCGAAACUAAAAUAUACAACAUACCUCUCCCAAUAUUAAUUCUACUUCACUAAGGCCCAGUUUGAUAGGGAUUUUUUUCCAUGGAAAAUGGAAAAAGUUUUCCAUUUCCACCCAAAAAUUGGUCUUUGAUGGCAAAAAGUUCCAUGGAAAACAUUUUCCAUUUCUCCCCUCACGUAACCUAAUUUUCUUGGUUUUCAAGGAAUUCCAAUUCCUUGGGUUUUGGUGAGAAAUGGGUUUUCCAACUUUUUAUUAUUCAUUUUUUUUUUUUACAAUGGAAACAAAUUCUAUCCAGAAUUAGGAAAAAAAUUAUCCAUUUAAUUGACAAUUUUCAUGAAAAAAGUCAAACAAACACCAAAAGAUCUAAAAUUUUAACAUUUUUUAUGACAAUCAAAUACAUUUAAGUAAAACAAGUUCUAGACAAUUCAAUACCCUGGAAUUCGUUUUAUUUCCAUCUAAAUUUCAUUCUUACAAUCAAACGGAUCCUAAGCAAAUCAAUCAACUGGAAAGAAAAUUACUGUGAAUGAAUAGUCAUUUUCAUUGUUGGAGCUGAGUUACUUCUAAGCAUAGUGGAAAACAAACAUUUCAAAAGCUCGUGCAAGAAUACUUUCAACCAAGUGAAGUUGGGGUAAGUAAAAAUACUCUUUGUUACGAUUACAUUGAUUAUUUUGUUAGACAUAAAAUAGUUGAUACAUGAAUUACAAAAAUAUGACGAUGUUAUACAUUUUACAUUGGAUUUAAGGGAAGUAAUAAAUUGAAAAAAAAAAAAAAGUUAUGUAGCUACAAACGUUCACAAUAUAGAUCCACUUUGGGUAAUGAACAAAAGAAUAAUUAUUUUUAAAAUAAUCGAGUUCCCUCACAAUUUUAAUAAUAUAUUUAAUGUUAUUAUGUAAGCGAGCCCCUUUAUUCUGAAUUCAUUAAUUCAGAAUGAAUCAAAUCUCCCCAGGUUGGAUUCGAACCUAUGACCAAUCGAUUAACAACCAACCGCUCUACCACUGAGCUACUGAGGAACAAUGGGAGAUUGGAACGAUGCCUCCUCACAAAGAGGGUCGCAAUGACCAUGCCUGGGCGACUGUUUACCAAAAACAUAGAUCUCCGCAAAGUCGUAAUAGAAGAAUAUCGUUGUGGAUAUAAAAUUCAUUAUUUUAAAUUUGAUUAUGCAGGUGUUAAUAAACUUAUAAUUAACAAACUAUGUAGGGUUCUUAAUCUUGAUUUUGUUGGUUUUUAUUUUAUAUUUGUUGUGUAUGUCAUAUAUUUGAUUUAAUUGUGAAAGAUGAAUACAUAUUAAUGAAAAAAUUGAAACAAUUAGAGAUGUAUUAAUAUAUAUUACCAUAUCACAUAGUAGAAAAUGAUUUUUGAAGAAUAUAGUGCUCAAUUUCUAUGGAAUGCAAAAUUUUUAUAACGUCACGGGUGGAACUCAACUUACCUAUUUCUCAAAAUUUUUGAAGCUUGUGAAACAUUAAUUACUAAAUUUUAUAACUUCAGACAUACAAAUGAGUCAGACUCAGUUUUGAUAGAUUCUAGGAAAUAAACUUUUAAAGCUAAAUUUUUUUGACAAUUUUCUAUGAUUCUACAAAUAUAUUAUUUGGGGGUAUAUUACCUUACUAAUGCUAAAGUUCUUGAAUGACUUUCUCUUUGGAAUAGGCAAGGACUAGGAAUAGUGGAAAUAGUACAUGAUUAGAUUAUCCAGUACUUAUUUAUGUGAAACUUAAUAGUCUUUGUGCACAACACUCAUGCUCUACACAUUGAGCUAGUGAUUGGAUUCUUGAGGAAAAUAGGAUAAACCCGAAAAAUCUUUAUUGUAUUGACCCAUAAGCCAUUUUUAGAGUAGUUUGGAGAUGGUUGAACAAUUGUAGGAGAACAUUGAGAUAAGUGGGGUUUCGUGCAUGAAAUUAUACUGUGUGGAUUGCUUAAGACCAAAUAGAUGAAGAUUAGGUAAAAGUAUUGAGCUGAGGAGCAGUUUUGGAGACUGAAUAUCUAGAAAAGGGCAAAAAUAUUAAUUUGUGUAAAAAUAAUACUUCUCUUAAAGCCUUUUUGACUCGAGCAAGUAAGACUGAGGGGUAUUUUGAAACUUGGUACCCUAAAACCAACUGGUUAAGGAAUCAUCGACUUAAAGCUUGCUACAAGGUUCAUAUAGAAAGCAAGAAUGGGAGAAGUUAAUAAAAAGUCAUCUUAUUGAGCAUUUAUAACUCAAGUAAAUAAGCUUGCAAGGGUUUAAAACCUGGUGCCCUAAAAUCAACUGAUUUGAGAGUCAUCAGUCUAAAACUUCCUACAUGGAUUAUAUAGAAAGCAAAUGAGAAUAUGGCAAUAAAAAAAUUUCAGAAAUUCAGAAAAUAAGACACAAUAACAUGAAGAAAGCCCUUGAACAUUUGGUUGAUGAAACUACACCUUUAAUGCGAGACAAGUAGCUUAAUUUAGUCUUAAAGGUUUAAACAACCAAAAUAGAAGAUAUGUGAAGUUGUAAUAGUGAUAUCUAUCCAAAUUAAGAGAGGGUAAGGAUUGUAGUUACCUAAACUACUAACUUUAUAAUACACCCCGGGAUAAUUGAGUGAAAAGAAUAAGUUUGGGGGUGUGUAUCGCUCGAGUGAGGAAAUGAUAUAUUUGACCACCGUGGGUCGGGAAUAAACAAAUCAUAAGUUUGAUACGUUGACAUGAGUUUAGACAUACACGUUGAGUUAUGCAUUUGACAGGUAAAAGUUGAUUUAAUUUGUUCACUAUUGAAACUGUUUCUUGUGUUGAUUACUAAAUUCUAAUCCUGAGAUACGGUAGGUUAUCAGGUCAUAUCUUGUAUAGAAUUAAGUCACUAUCUUGUUUGAGGACAAACAAUAAUUCAAUUCUGGGGGUUUGAUAAGUGCAUUUUUACACACUUAAAUAUUAAACACAAGUUGUUCUCUAUUUUAGAGAGUCUAUACAAAAAUAUGCUCCAAGUGACAUGCCCCACUCCGGAUAAUGCUAGUGGACCCAAAACGUUACGUGUGCCGAUGAUAGAUACCAACUAAAAGUUGGUUCCACCAUCAAAGCUUCUAUAAUAUACAACAUUUUAUAAAUUCUUUUAAUAGAAUUUAGAAUUUAUUUUCCCUAUAAAUAGGACUAAUCGACCUGCAAUCCACUAUCUACAAAUCUUAACAAUAAUACAACACAAUGGAGAUAAGCCAAAUUCUCAAAUUUUACUAUAAAAAUAACAUGAAAUGUACAUAUAGAUGCAAAAUAUAAAGUGAGCCACAUAGCUAUUUACCUAGUCAUAUGAUAAAUACGUUUUUACACACUUAUUUGGCCACAAAACAUGAUUAAUUGUUGAUCAAAGCACUUGAGUCAUGACUUAAUUCUGUAUAAUUUCGUUUUGUAGGAUCAUGUUGAUGGAUAUGGUAGAAUUCAAAAGAAAAGAAAUGAAAAAGUGCCAAAACGAAUAAAAAACAAAAGUGGAGGGACCAAAGUGCAAAUAAUUGAAAGAUGACCUGAAGGAUGAGUGGAGAAUGUAAAUGAGCUAAGUACCAAUUUGGUGAUAUUAUGCGAUGAUAGAAGGAAGAAAAUGAAAAAAGAGAGACCAAAACAGAAGAAAACAAAAGUGUAGGGACCAAAGUGCAAAUAGACAAAACAUGAACCGAAAGCAUAUAUGAAGGUGUUAAAGAAUCAUGGACCAAUUUGUUGAAGAUUUGAAGUAUUAGGAGAAGAAAAAUGAGAAAAGAUUUCAAAACGCAAGAAAUUUGAAGUUCGAGAAACAAAAUGCCACUUUUGGGAAUAAACCUUAUACCAUGUGGUUGUAUGAACCAUCAUGCAACCGCAUGAUAGUAAUCAGAAAAAUUGAAGGGACAAUCAUGCAUAACCAUGCGGUCGCAUAGUACAAAUCUGAUGCGUGAUUUUCAGUUUCCUUCUUUGCUUCAAUCUCUUAUGGAAACAAGUUAAUGGACAUAUAUAAAAUCCCUAGAGCCGUCAAAAGAAAGGGAGAACGCCUUGUGAGAGAAAAGAACACAUCUUGAAGGGGAUUUUGAACCACAAUAACGAAGAGACACGCGAAGAUCGACAAGAUUACAUGCAAAUUCUAACAUCGAUGAUGUCGUUUCUUAAAGUUUUUGUGUAUUUUGUUAAUUUUUCCAUGCCAGGCUAGGUUUCAUGUACUAGGAUACUGAUGAACCUCGUAAUGUAAAUUUUUGAUUUCUUGUUUUAUAAUAUUGACAUCAAAACAUGUUAUGAAUUUUUGAAUGAUUUAUAUACAAUUAAUUGUUUCCAUAAUUAUGUGCACGUAAUUGCAUGGGUGUGAUGACUUAUUUCAUGCAUUUAAGAGAAGGGAAAUGUGUUCGACAGUGUAUAAAUCAUCAUCGGGUCCAAUAGGGGAUAGAGAUAUACAUCUAUGCCUUGCGUGAAUCUUUAAUUGCUCUCAAAACCACAUGUAUUCUUGUAUAAUUGCACCUGUCAUUGAGAUGUAGGCUAAUGGUAUGUAAGAGCAAGUUUAACAUUACUUGAGAGAGAUUGUUGGAUAGAUUAAGAAGCAUUGAUUCAUAAAAAAUUCAACGUGUUAUCAUUUUGUUGAACUAGGGUUAAGAGUUAACAUUGAUUGAAGAUUCGUGAUCCUAGUGCGCUUUACAUUCAUUAAUUACAUCAAUUUUGCAUUCAAAACGUCACUUCACAAUAUAGUUAAUCAAAUUCACAUACAAUUGCAUAUUUAGUCUAGGUUAGGGUUAAUCAAGCCACAAUUAUCUUGUUGGAUAAUUUGGUUUUGGUUUAGGCUGAGAUAGAUUAAGUUUAGUUACUCAAUCUCUAUGAGACGACAUUCGAGCUCUAUUUUCCACUUUAUUACUUGUUGUGAACCAUACAAUUGCAGAUACAAAUUGAAAGAAUAAUUUCGUGAACAAGUUCUUGGUGUCGAUGCCAGGGAUUGAGUUUUCGUGUGAUUUUAUUUAUCUUGGCAAUAAUUCGGACUUCUACUUGUAUUCUUGCAUUUUUAUUUUCGUUUAUCUCUCUUUUUCAAGAUAUAAAAACAUCAAAAAGACCAAAAACAGUAAAGACAAAUGGCUAACGAAAAAAACAAAUUGAUAAUUCAAGCUAAUGAAGAGGAAGUUGUGGACGAGAGAAAUAUGCUUGUAGGGGAUUUCAUGAUCCCUCAAAUAAUUCAAAGCCAGUCCAACAUGAUGUAUCCACCUUUUGGCAGUCGAAUUUCCAACUGAAGAUCAACGUCAUACAAUUGUUUCAAAAUGGACACCAGUUUUAUGCAGAGCUGAAGAAAACCCAUAUACGCACAUCUCUCGAUUCUUGGAGAUGUGCCAACAUUUCAGAUAUCAGGGUAUCACAGACGAUGCUUCAGAUUAAGACUAUUCUCAUACACAUUACGAGUUAAAGUAAUUGAAUGGCUAGAUUCUCAACCAAUAACCAACAUCACCACAUGGAAUGGGUUAGCGCAUAAAUUCAGCAUCAAGUUUUUCCUGCCCGCCAAAAUUGCAAAGGUAAAACAUGACAUCUCUAUAUUCCGUUAAAGAGAAUUUGAAUCUUUUGAUGAAAAUUGGAACAGGUUCAAGAACAUGCUUCAGAAGUGUCUACACCAUGUGAUUAGUAAGGGACUCCAAGUCAAGUAUUUCUAUGCAGGACUUCUUCCAACCUUCAAGGACAUGGUUGACUCUUCAUCUAAUGGGUCACUAUCAACAAGAACUAUUGAUGAAGCAUUAAAGCUAUUUGAGACAGUGGCCACCAUUUCAACUAUGUGGACGUUAGAACGAGCAGUUCAAAAGAAGACACCAGGUGCGUAUGAAAUGGAUGCCUAUUUAGCCCUAUCUCAAUUCCAUAAGGUGGAAAGUAUAUCACAGUCAGCGAAUGCAAUACAUGCAUGAAAACCAAGUUGUGAAGAAUGUGGAGUGAAUCACAGUACAUCAGAAUGCCCAAUUUCGUCAUAAGGAAUGGAACAAGUAGAGUAUGCACAAUGGUGUCAACAUCAACAAAACAGCCUGACUUCAGAUACUUACAAUUCCGGUUGGAGAGAGCAUCUAAAUCCCUUGUGUGGUGGUAACCAAAAUCAAUUUCAAAAUCAGAAUAGACUUCAUGAGCAAUUUUAGUAGGAGAAGACAUUUCAGUUGGAAAAGAUGUUUGCAAAGUCAAUGGAAAAAAACUUAUAAAUACAUGGAAGCAAAUAACCAAUUCAUCAGAAAACUGAAACUACUCUCCAGAAUUAGGGUGAUGUAAUUAAGAACUUAGGGUGUGUUUGAUACACCAAAAUUUUCCAUGGAAAAUGGAAACUGAAUUUCAUAUUCCAACUUUAUGGUGUUUGAUAGGGUUUUAUUUCCAUGAAAUUGUCUUUUCUUGCUUGUCUCGGGAAUUGAUUUUUUCUUGGUCUUUAAGGAAAACCAAUUGGAAUUCCAUGUUACUAUAGCAUUUUGUUUGUUUGUUUGUUUUUUUUUUGUGUGUUGGUAAUGAAAACAAAUUCUAAGAUUUAUUGUAAAAAAAAAUAUUUCCUUUUAAUUGACAAUUUUCAUAUAAAACAAAGCCAAACGAACACCCAAAGAUAGAUGAUUUUCUUGAAUUUUUUUUAUUUUUAUUUUUUGCAAUGGAAACAAAUUUCAUUCUCAAUACCAGUAAAUUCUAUCCUUUUAAUUGAAAAUUUUCAUGUAAAACAAAACCAAACGGACAUCAAAAAACACUUUAAUUUAAACAUUUUCCAUAUGAAAAAUUAUACUAAUCAAACACAAUAAUUUACAAUUUCCAGGAAAAUAAUUUUCCAUCAAUUCAAUUCUCUGGAAUUCAUUUUCUUUCCACCCAAAUUCCACAUUUGCAAUCAAAUGGACCCUUAAAGAUAUAGAUGGGACAGAGAUCACUUUCUAUGACAAGAUGGGCACCAGAUAUUUUGCCAAGCAGUACUUAAGUGAAUCCAAGCAAACAUGUUCAAGCAAUUACUACAAGAAGUGGGGUUCAAUUACGAGAAUUCAAUGUGAAGGGAUUAUAUGCAGACAAAGAAACAGUGACUACUUCUGAUGAGGAGCAGACUAACCAAACCAAAGAAACAACUACUAAGGAAAGUUCAAAUACAUCACGGGCUAAAGCAACUACUCCUGUCAAUCCAUACGAGCCCCCAAGCUGGAAGAGCACAAAAUGGUGAUGUUGACAGAGGAAUGCAACGCUAGAAUUCAGAAGAAGUUAUCUCCAAAGUUAAAAGAUCCAGGGAGUUUUACUGUACCCUGCACUAUAGGGAAUUGCUACUUUGAUAGAACUUUAUGUGAUUUGGUGCUAGUAUUAACUUAGUGCCACUAUCUGUUUUCAAGAAACUAGGAUUGCGAGAACCUACGGCAACUACGACGACGCUACAGUUGGCUAAUCGAUCAUUCAUUCAUCCACAAGGAAUAAUUGAAGAUGUUUUAGUAAAGGUGGAUAAACUCAUAUUUCCAAUGAAUUUCCUAAUUCUAGACAUGGAAAAAGACAAGGGCAUGCCGCUCAGAUUGGGUCGACCAUUUUUUUCCUACUACAAAAGCUUUUAUAGAUGUGCAGUAAGGUCAACUAAUUCUGAGGCUCGGGGAGAAGUGGGUUUCUUUCAAUGUUUUCAAAGCGAUGAAAUAUCCUAUUGAAUCAGACAACUAUUUCCAGAUUGAGGUGGUUGAGAACAUAAUUCAUGACACUUUUGAGUUGCAGAACCUGUCAGAAGUUUAUGAUGCCUGUAUUAUGCAUCCUCAACCCACUCUCACUAACUCGAAGGAGAUUGAGGUUUACACUGUUGAGUUCCAAACGGAUGAUGAAGGGAAAUCACACUACUUGGAGAAGGACAAUGUUGAAAUUUGGAAGAUAGCUGCAAUACGGAAAAAGAUCAUAUUGAGCAAACCAAGUAGGAUCUCCAAAACCAUAUAAAAAUUCCAAUAACACACUUGUGAUAAAAGUCGAUCUCUAGACUAUAAAUACAGCACUUAAUGCUAGGCAACCCAUUCCUCUAUCACUUUUAACUUUUUUUGAUUACUUAUUGCAUUACAAGUAGAAUUUUAGGGAUUACCUAAGUAUUUAGAGCCAUAUUUAGGAACUCAUGUAUGUAGAUUGUUUUUAACACGUUUUAGAUAGUAUUUUAAGACUUGCAUUAGUAACUUAGGGAUUUUUAUCUAUUAAGUUAAAUUUACUUAGACUCAUCUUAACAUCCUAUCAUUAUGUUGAGCUUACAUUGAUGUAAUAUGCAUUCUUAAGGUUAUACUUAGAUUUCAAUCUCCAACUAACUAGAAAAACUUAUCUUCUCUUAUAGGAUUUUUACAGGGACGUUAGAAUAUUAGAAUUCUACGUAGUGUGAUUUUAUUGCACAUAUUUCAAACUUUAUUUGUUAUUAUUGAUAUUUGCUUUAAAUUCUCCAAACAGUAAACAAAAGCCUAGCAAUAGAGAAAGAUGAUGGUUGUCAUGACAUCUACCAGUUGGGCCAGCUUGAUCCUUCUACCUAUCCGCAACUACUUCGGGGAGUUUCUGAUCCUUACUAAUUUAUUUUAAUUAUUUUUGCUUGUACAUUAAGGACAUGUGAUUUAUAAGUUUGUGGGUGGCAUAAUUUUGGCAUAAUUUUCAUGGUACCGUUGAUAUUCAUCACUAGUUGUUUCUAAUUUUAAUUUACUACCUUCUGUGUGAUUAUCGUGUGAAAAGAAAAUCUUGCAUGCUCUGUUUAUUCUUGUUUAUGACUUUGUGUGCUUGUGUGAGUUUGAUAACCUUGUCGGUAAUGAUGUGAAUAUUAGAAUAGGUAAGGACAGUGAAUAGUGGAAAGAGUGCAUGAUUAGAUUAUCCAAUACUUGUUUAUGUGAAACUUAACAGUCUUUGUGCAUGACACUCAUGCUCUGCACAUUGAGCUAGUGAUUGGAUUCUUGAACAUAAUAGGAUAAACCCAAAAAACCUUUAUUAUAUCGACCCAUAAGCCGUUUUUAGAGUAGUUUGGAGAUGAUUGAGCGAUUGUAGGAGAACAUUGAGAUAAGUGGGGUUCCAUGCGUGAAAUUAUACUGUGAAGAUUGCCUAAGACCAAUGAAAUGAAGAUUAGGUGAAAGUCUUAACUUGAUGGGUGGUUUUGGAGUCUAAAUGUCUAGAAAAAAGGGGCACAAUAUUAAUUUGUGUAAGAAUAAUACCUCUCUCAAUGCCUUUAUGACAUGAACAAGUAAGUCUGUAAGGGUAUUUUGAAACCUGGUGCCCUAUAGUCAACUGGUUUGAGAGUUAUUGGCCUAAAGCUCGCUACAAGGGUCAUAUAAAAAGCAAGAAGGGGAGAAGUUAAUAAAAAAUCAUUUUAUCGAGCCUUUAUAACUCGAGCGAGUAAAUCUACAAGGGUUUAAAAUCUGGUGCCCUAAAGCCAACUGGUUUGAGAGUUAUCGGUUUAAAACUUGCUACAUGAGUUAUGUAGAAAGCAAAUGAGAAUAUGGUAAUAAAAAAAUUCAAAAUUUCAGAAAAUAAGUAAGCAAAGACACAAUAACAUGAAGAAAGCUCUCGGACAUUUGGUUGAUGAAACUACACCUUUGAUGUGAGACAAGUAGCUUAGUUUAGUCUUACAGGUUGAAGCAAUCAAAACGGAAGAUCUGUGAACUUGUAGUAGUGAUAUUUAUCCAAAUUAAGAGAAGUAAGGACUACAGUUACCUAAACUCCUAAAUUUAAAAUACACCCCGUGAUAAUUGAGUGAAAAGAACAAGUUUUGGGGUGUGUAUCUCUCGAGUGAGGAAAUGAUAUAUUUGACUGGACAUUUGGUUGAUGAAACUACACCUUUGAUGUGAGACAAGUAGCUUAGUUUAGUCUUACAGGUUGAAGCAAUCAAAACGGAAGAUCUGUGAACUUGUAAUAGUGAUAUUUAUCCAAAUUAAGAGAAGUAAGGACUACAGUUACCUAAACUCCUAAAUUUAAAAUACACCCGUGAUAAUUGAGUGAAAAGAACAAGUUUUGGGGUGUGUAUCUCUCGAGUGAGGAAAUGAUAUAUUUGACCACUGUGGGUCGGGAAUAAACCAAUUAUAAGUUUGAUAUGUUGACAUGAGUUCACACAAAUAUGUUGAGUUAUGCAUUUGACAGGUAAAAGUUGAUUUAAUUUGUUCACUAUUGAAACUGUUUCUUGUGUUGAUUACUAAAUUCUAAUCUCGAGACACGGUAGAUUAUUAGGUCAUAUCUUGUAUAGAGUUAAGUCACUAUCUUGUUUGAGGACAAACAAUAGCUCAAGUUUGGGGGUUUGAUAAAUGUGUUUUUACACACUUGUUUGGCCAUAAAACAUGACUAAUUGUUGAUCAAAACGUUUGAGCUAUAACUUAAUUUUGUAUAAUUUCGUUUUGUAGGACUAUGUUUAUAGAUAUGGUAGAAUUCAAAAGAAAAGAAACGAAAAAGCGCUAAAAUGGGAAAAAAAUCAAGGACCAAAGUACAAAUAAUUGAAAGAUGACCCGCAAGAUGAAUGGAGAAUGAAACUGAGCUAAAUACUGAUUUUGUGAUACAAUGAGCUAAUAGAAGGAAGAAAAUGAAGAAAAGAGAUAUACCAUUAUGCCUUGCGUGAAUGAGUUCGACAUAAUCGCCCUCAUUGUUAAGUGUUUCAUAUUUUAUUGCUUUUAGUUUCAUAUUUUCCUAGCAUGACAUUUUCGACCUCAAUGUCAAAGUGUUGACUCCUUUAAUUUGAUCAGUUAUAAGGUAUUAAAUCAAGAGAAUCAAAUAUUAUAAACGAUUGCUUAAAUGGCUAUUGUCGAUCAAAUAUGAGUUGACAUAGAAGAACAAAUGUGGAUUAGCUUGUUAGGAUGCCAACAAAUGCCUCACAUCGACGAGACAUACGGUGAAUAAUGUGUGUAGGGAAAUCGACUGAUCAUAUUUUUAUGAUGGAACCCCAAUUCUCUAACACAUGCAAAGAACCAACACAAACCUUACUAGUCGAUAGAGGGCAACUUGUCCCAAUAAUCAUGGAAAGUUCUGCAAAAGCCACACCACAAGUGUAAAUCACAUAGAGGAUUAGGGAUUUGACGCUACAUAACAAAGUUCUUGUUUGACCUCUAUUUUUUAAAAUUUACUUUCAACCAUGAAUUUUCUCAAUAAAAUAAAUUGCAUGUAGAUUCAUAUUUAUUUCUACUUGUUAACUACACAUUCUAGAAAAAAUAAAUAAAUAAAUAAAAAUCACCUUUCACAAUAAAAUGUAAAAUCCAUCGAAGAAGUAAAUAUCGUUUAAUUUUCCACCAAAAUUGGAAACGACGUGAAGAGUGGGGCCUUGAAGUUGUUUCUGGUUCGCAGGAAUACAAAAAAAUUCGUUGUAUACGAAACUUGGCUCAUCGGUGUCAUCUGUUUAGGCUGACUGUUUCAACACAAUUCUUUUCGUUUUCACAAGUCUUCAUGAAAAAAAAUCCAAGUCAACUGCCGUGUUCACUUUCACCCUGACUUACGUUGCGAGUGAAUUAAUUAUUUGAAUUUAGAGAACCGCAGUAGAAUUUGAUUUCUAUAUUCUUCUUCUUUCUGUUCGUUUUUGAGUUAGGCUGGCAUGGUUUUCUCCCGUAGGGCUGCUUCCAGUUUAAUUGUUUUUGUAUUUCUGUUUCAUCUAUAUAUCCUUCACUUUGUUGAUUCUCAAUGCCCAAGGCAGUUCCAGUGUGGAAAUCUUGGCAAUUUGGAGUUUCCUCUGGCCAAUUCUUCGGGAUGUGGAUUGUUCACGGUUGACUGCAGUGCUCGGCCGAAUCCAAAAAUUCAACUGGAUAAUUAUUGGCAUUCAACAUCCUUUUCCUUUGAUAUUAUGAACAAGUCAUCUCCCAAUGAAAUAUUUAUUCGAAAUCCAUUUCGUGAACGUGUUUUAUAUAAUAAUAAGGAAAUAUGCUAUUUAUUUUUUCUUCUCCCUAUGCCACACUCUCCUUCGAUUUCGAUUUCGUUCUUCCCCAAUAUCACUCUGUUUAAAUGCGCCAAAUAUAGGAACUACGACAAUGAGAUACCUCAUUUCCAAGAAAUUUAUGGAAACUACGAUGGUUGUGAUUUCUUCAAUAUAUACUACCCCAGGUCGAAUGGAAGUCUUCCGCCCCCCAACGACUGUUCAGUUCUUCCCUUGCCAGGCAAUUUACAGUGUUACUCAGAUUCAUUGGACUUGUUCCAGCGGUUAGGCUCUGAUUGUCUUCUAAAAUGGAAUGUGUCUGAUGAUUGUCGUAAUUGCCACAGAAAAGGAGGAAACUGCACAACUAACAUGAAGAAUGAAUUUCGAUGUGAUAAAGGUACCAUCGGCCUUUGAACAUGGAUGAUUACGAGUCAUCCCUCUACAUAUUUUCUUUUGUUUUGCAUUUUUGCCCGCAAUCCAGAACAGGGUUCAAGCGAUUUAAACUUUAAAACAUAUAGAAUUGUUUGAUUAUAUGUCACUGACAAUUUAUCACGUGAUCGCUAUAUGCCAGUCCUCACGAGUACAGUUGUUUAUAUCCUUCCCUCACAUAGAUGUGUUCUUCAUGCCUUGUUGCGGGUUUCAUUUUUCUUUCUUCAGUUGAGUUUGAACUGACAUAUUUGCACGUUGACUAUGGCUACAGAGAAAAGGAGGGAUUUGAAGAAGAUUCUAGCCGCAGGUAAAUGUGGUAAAGGAAUGCAGAUACAUUACAUAUUAGAUGUCAAACUCCCAUUCUUACUUUCAAAACUUCUUUACAUAAUUUUUUCCAAUUGAGGUUUUCCUUUUCAAUUUUUGGUUUCUGAGUUCUUGAUUUCUCUGUUUAUGGUUUUCAGCUAUACCUGGAAGUAUAGUCACACUUUGCGUGGUAGGUUUUUUCAUUUGGCGCCAUAAAAAAAGAAUCAAUGAUGCAUACUUACUUUCGAGGAACAUAUCCACCGAUCCCUCAAAAUCAGACAUUGAAGGCGGGAGUCUCUUCUUUGGUAUCGCCAUCUUCACCUAUACAGAACUUGAAGAGGCUACCAAUAAUUUUGAUUCUUCUAAAGAACUUGGAGACGGAGGUUUUGGAACUGUCUACUACGGUAAGAAUCUAUUAGUCAUUAUGAAGCAACGUCAAUCAAAAUCAUGAUAGAUAAAAUUGUCUGCUAGGUGUAUAACUGUUUAAUACUAAUAGUAAGUCUGACUUCUUUUCUAAUUAGGCAAACUCCGGGAUGGAAGAGAAGUAGCAAUAAAGCGCCUCUACGAGCAUAACUACAAACGAGUAGAGCAGUUCAUGAAUGAAAUCAAAAUCCUUACUUGCUUGAGGCACCUGAAUCUUGUUUCUCUUUAUGGCUGUACAUCUAGGCACAGCCGGGAACUCCUACUCGUUUACGAGUACAUUCCUAAUGGCACAGUUGCGGAUCAUAUCCAUGGUGACAGAGCUAAUGAAGCACCACUUUCAUGGCCAAUUCGCAUGAAAAUUGCCAUAGAGACUGCUUGUGCAUUGGCAUACCUGCAUGCAUCUGAUAUAAUACAUCGCGAUGUGAAGACUAACAACAUACUGCUCGAUAACAGUUUUUGUGUCAAAGUUGCGGAUUUCGGGCUUUCAAGACUCUUCCCUAAUGAUGUCACUCAUAUAUCAACUGCCCCUCAGGGGACCCCUGGAUAUGUGGAUCCGGAAUAUCAUCAAUGUUACCAACUUACUAAUAGAAGUGACGUAUACAGCUUUGGAGUUGUCCUCAUUGAGCUCAUAUCAUCAAUGCCUGCAGUGGAUAUAAGUAGGCAUAGGCACGAAACCAACUUGGCCAACUUAGUGGUAAGCAGGAUACAACGGUGUGCAUUUCCCGACUUAAUCGAUCCAUCUCUUGGAUUUGGAUCUGAUGCUGAAGUUACAAGGAUGACUACUUCAGUGGCGGAGUUAGCUUUCCGAUGUUUGCAACGUGAAAAGGAUCUGAGGCCUUCUAUGGACGAAGUAUUAGCAUUUCUGAAGGAGAUAAGGGGCGACGAGGAGGUAGAAAUUGAGAAUAAAAUGGAGACUAUUGAUAGUCACAGUGUUCCAAGAGGUGUAAAGAUCCCACCUUCACCUGAAACAGAUGAUAUUGUAUUGUUGAAGAGCAAGAAUUUGAAAUGCUCACCAAGUGCUGUGACUGAUAUGUGGAUUAGUAACUCUACAACCACUAGUUCCAGUGGGUGAGAUUCCUUUUGUUGUUUCUACAAGUAGAUGAUAGUAAGAAUGUUGUUAAACACUCUAUAUAUUGUUUACCAAAUGGGUGGGACUUAUUUCAUCUUCUAUGCUUUCACCUUCACAAACAGUAAAUAUAGAACUAAAGACUGGGAAUAUGCUAGUAAAAUGAUGUAGCUUUUUCAACAUCUGGUGUGGUGUUUUUGUUGUUUCUACAAGUAGAUGCUGGUAAGAAUGUUGUUAAACACCCUUUAUAUUGUUUGCCAAAUGGGUGGGAUUUAUAUCAUCUUCUAUCCUUUCACCUUCACAAACAGUAAAUAUAGAAAUAAGACUCAGAAUAUGCUAGUAAAUGAUGUAGCUUUUUCAACAUCUGGUGUGGUGUUUUUGUUGUUUCUACAAGUAGAUGCUGGUAAGAAUGUUGUUAAACACCCUUUAUAUUGUUUGCCAAAUGGGUGGGAUUUAUAUCAUCUUCUAUCCUUUCACCUUCACAAACAGUAAAUAUAGAAAUAAGACUCAGAAUAUGCUAGUAAAUGAUGUAACUUUUUAACAUCGAGAUGUGUUGUUCUCUUGCUUGAAUAAUCCAAGAAAAUGUUUGCUAUGCACUACUGACAACUUUGUAUAAAACAAUAUACAACAUUUUAACGUGUUGUUCUUCGUUCGUCCUAUUAGAGGAUGUUAAAUCCAGUGCAUCAAACAUUUGGUACGCCAACGAUAGUUUUUAGUAAACUGAUAUGCAUUGCCACCAGUACAGCACAUACCACGCAUCUGAGAUGAUGCCAUUCCUGUCAUUCUGUCAAAAGUGAAGAACUCUUUGGUUUUAUUUGAGAGUUAUGUUGCAUUGAUUUCAUAAGAAUUGUUCUACAUUAACACUUGGCAGCAUUUCAUUGGUAGUUGGACAAAAAAUAUUUUUCAACUACCCAAUCACAAUUUACCAACUUGCAUAACUCUUUAUUUGAAUAAUGGAACUGACAAAGAAAAUUAAGAAAUUUUCUAGGGAUGUUUUUCUUUUCCUUGUCAUGGGGCGUUUGGAUCUCUUACACAACUAGUAAAAAUAUUCCAAACAAAUUUUCAUGCUUUUAAAGGACCAAAAUUUAUAUGCGAUUUUAAUGGAAUUAAAGUUGAUCAUAUACCAGCUGACAUAGUAGAAGAAAUAUGAAUUGGAAAAGCCUGUUAGAGCAUCUCAAAGAGGUUUUAUGAAUCCAAGAUGUUUUCUGUUUUAGGGAGCCUAUGCAAAAAUAACGAAAAGAUCACAGACACAAGAUCUUUCACCAAUUUUAUUAUUUGAUCUUUUAGUUGGUUUAGUAGAAUUUUAAACUAUUUUCAUCAUUUGCAAAAUUCAAAUUUAUUGUGUAUUUUGUUGUUAAAAUUAAAUUUAACUAUUGUGUAAUUGAGUAAUUAUUCAUGUGGGAUUCAAAACCCGGGCCGUUUGUCCACUUAUUACUUGUACGUGACUUGUGAGCCCGCGGUACACUUUUUUAGCGAAAAACAUGCCGACGCCAUUUUUAUAAAUUUAGUAAUCAAAAUUCGACUAUCUCAAAAUUCAUUGAGCAAUCGAAUACGUUUUCUAAAGUUUGUUGAACAAUGAAAAACGUUUUCUCAUGUGACAAUUUGGUAAAGACAUGACGGGACUCCACAUGUGCAUUCCAUUAGCUACGACAAAUUUCGUUGGAAGUUUGAAACGGGUGUUAUGCCAAUAAGUAAUGUCCAACGUUUGGAUAGAUUUAAUGGUUAAAACUCGACAUUUUAAACUUUAAUUAGCAAUCGAAAAUACAUACACAAGUUCAGUAAAUAUUGAGAUAAUUAACUCUGCUAAACAUGGGCUAAAUAAAAGAGCUUUUAUUUUCUGUUGAAAAUUUGAGCUGUCACCCAUGAUUUAAAAAAAUUGUUGAAAGUAGCUUGUAUUUGCUACUUUCAGCACAAAAAAAAAAAAAAAAAAAAAAAGGAAGGAAAGAGAGAGAGAGAGAGAGAGAGGCAACCUUGCUACGUUACCAGCUAGAUUUUGCCACAUUUCUUGAUAUUGACAUUCUGUCAUUGGCCGGUUAAAAAGAAAAGGGACAAUUUUUGCACCAAUCACUUGCUACACUUCAUCUAUCAUUUGGAAUGUCUAGGGAUGGCAAUGGGCCGAAUCGGCCUUUAACUCACGAGCUCGGCUCGGGCUGAUGGCGAGCCUAGCUCGAGCUCGACUCGUUGCUUGGGGGAGCUCAGCCCAUGAGCUCGCGAGGCCGACCGUGUUAAGCAUAGGCGCGGAGAACACCCUUCUUUGGCAAUGCCCAAAAUUGCAAUGGAUUCCACCUUUACCGAGCCCACACGCAGCUCGCGAACUCGUGAUUUUUUUAAUAUUUUUUAAUUAUUAUUAUUAUUAUUUUUUUUUUUGUGUAAAUUUGCACAUUUUUUGACUUUUUUCUAUUCUUCUUCUUCUUCUUCUUCUUUUUUUUUUUGUAAAUUUACAUAUUUUUUGAUGAGCCCACAGCUUGUGGACUCGUCAAAAAUGGCUCGUGGGAUUGAGCCCCCUACUCGGCUCAAGCUCGAGCUCAUCAUUUGAUGAGCAUGAGCCACCCACGAGCCGAGCAUCCCCUCGACCCGUUUGACAUUCCUAUGAAUGUCAAAUUCAUUAGGCAAAGUGGCAUUAUCAACACAACUGGUUUAAUCGGUGUUGCGUUAGUCAAAUGGGAGGUUACAAUUAAUCAAUAAUAAUAAUAAUAAUAGUAAUAAUAAUAAAGUGUGGAUAAGUGAGAGAUUCGUUUUGGAUUUAAAUAUUCUUUUAACUCCUUUUUUUACUGUUGAUUUAAAUUUAGGUAAGAGUCUAAUUGUCAAAAAGGAUUAAUCGGGUUCUAGCCACUAAGAAUUUCAAAAAUUUAUUUUUGAAUCUUUUGCACUUUUUAAUUUUUUGUUAAUUUUUUGAUUUUUUAAUAAUUUAUUUGAGACUCAUUUGCAUUUAAAAAAAAUUCUAAUUUUUUUAAUAAUUUACUUAGGAUUCAUUUGAACUUUUUAAAAAGUAUGUGACUAUGGUUGCAAUAAUUUUUUAUUUUUGUUUUUUUGUUUAAAUAGGAGGGUAUAUUCAUAAUUUCAUGAUUUUUUUGUUGAGAAAUUGGAUGAAAAUCGAUAGAAAAUGAUGGUCCCAUUUAUACAGAUAUGGUAGAGGGGCCUUACAUUGGGCCUAGUGCCCAGGUGGUUUGGCCAAUAGUGGAAGGUAUGAUAGUAAGUGGACGAAAAGGGAAUUUUAGGAAAAAGAUCUUGGAGAUACCAUUGUUUCUUGUACAGAAGUUCCUAUAAAAAUGAUUUCCGACUGGCAUAGAAGUCUCUCGUGUGCCCCCUUGGGGGCUGGGGGGAGAAUUACCAUUCCUUUGCGUAAUCAAAGGUAUAAUUAAAGGUGAAAAUAUCAAAAAAUGAAAGGUGAUGUUUUUCACAAUAGUAGUGAAAGGAAUUAACAUUAUGUGUUAAUUACCAUUUUACUAAUUUAUUUUGAACUGGUUUGCAUUUUAUUUAAAAUGGUACUAUGAUUGCAAUGAGUUCCUUUUUUUCCCCUCUUUUUGUUUAAUUUAAAUUGAAAGAUAUAUUCGACACUUCGUAGCGUUUAAUUGAGAAAAUUGAUGAAAAAUACCUUUUGCGCAAUGAAAUGCGGAAAUGAUGGUAAAAAUGCCAAGAAAAUUGAAAGAUAAUGAUUUUUUCACAAUUAUAGUGAAAGUUAAGGACGAUAUAUGCUAAUAACAGUUUAGAAUACUGCUAAUUAUCAUUAUAAUAAUGGAACAUCGUGAUAUAACAAUUUAUGUGGAAUAAUGAUAUUGGAUAGUUCAAUUUUUACAAGAGAGAUGGGAGAUGUGGUCGAGAGAGAGAGAGAGAGAGAGAGAGAGAGAUAGUAGAUUAGUGUCUCUUGGUCUUGUGUAAUUUAAGUCUUUCAUAAUGAAUUAUUCCGUGUUCUUUUCAUAUAGACUUAUAGCAUAAUGAAUUAAGGUCUUUAUGUAAUUUUGUUAUACUAUUUUCUUUUAUUAAUUAUGCAAAUUUUAUUUAUAAAGCUUUGGUUUUAAAGCAUUAGGUAAAAAGUAUUUUCAAGAGACUCUCUAUUUUUGAAUAAUAUUUUCUAUUAUUUCGAGAUCAUUUAUAAAUUUAGAGAGUAAAAAUUUUAAAUACUCCAAAAUGCUCUUUAUUUUUAAUACUUAAUUUACUACUCUUAAUAUGUAUCUAUUAUUUUCACUAACUUCGCUUCAAAGUAUUAUAUUAAUCUCCUCCAUUUUCUUUGUAUAUAUUAUAUAUUUGGGUCAAUAUAUGUAACACUGAAAAUUGAAAUAUUUUGAUUGUAUUUAAUUAUAGAGAGUGAAUUUGAAUCUUGGAAGAUGAUUUGAAGAGUUGAUUUUUUAAAAUAUAGAGUAUUUCAUUUCUUGAAAAUGCUCUUAUUAUCCGUUCAUAAUUUUAGCCAAUUUCAUUUUGUUUUUGUGGUCCAACCCAGUGAAUUUGAAAUUCAUGUCCCAGACCCAUGUUGUUGCUAUUAAUUUAUUAACCAACUCCAGCAUGCUUGUAUUGCCACCAGCGACAAACAAUGCAUCCUAUUAGUUUGAAUCCAAAUAAUGUCAAUAUAGGGCUAAGUAGGUACUAGAACAAAACUUUAUUUUAAGGUACGCAUUUUAGAGUUUUUUUUUUUUUCAAACUAGAUAUCAAUAUUUUAAUUUUAUGUCAAUUAGAUAACUAAAUUUAAAUUUAAUUUCGAUUAAUGUAACUUUGUUCAAUUUCAUUAACAGUGAUGUGACCAUCAUUUAUUGAUGGUCAACACGUGGGGCCGUCAAUUGUUGAAGUGGAAUAAAUGUAAUAUGAGUGAAAUAAACUUUUUUUUUUUUUUUUUUUUUUUUUUUUUGGGGGUUUUCCAGCUCACGCGCACCUCGAUUAAUCCUAUGGGGCUCUGAAAUUUACACUGAAUACUCAUCUCAGUGGUCCUGAGAGGAUUCGAACUGAUGACCAUUGGGGAGCAAAUUCAAAGUCUGACCACUGAGCUUUCCCUCAGGAUUUGAGUGAAAUAAAUGACGAAAUAAUAUUAAUAACUGUUAGAUAACUAAUUUCUAUCUAUCUAGUAAAUAGAAUCAAAUGAACUUACCAAUUAUAUAUUUAAAUUAAAGUACACUUGUUCGAUGGGCAAAAUUAAACAAAGAGGAAUAAUGACAGACAUUUCACAUUUGAAUAGUUGAAUUGUGAUUGUGACACUAUCUACCUCAUAUGAUAGAAAUUUUGCUUAAAAUUACAUGUUUAAUUGUCAUGCUAAAGUGAGUACAGUAAACAUGUAAAAUUCAAGGAAAUAACUAUCGUUUAAUUUUCCACCACAAUUGAAAAUGACAUGAAGAGUGGGGGCCUUGAAGUUGUUUUUGAUUCGCAGGAAUACAAAAAAAUUCGUUGGAUAUGAAACUUCAGUCAUCAGUAUUAUUUGUUUAGGCUCACUGUUUCAACUUAAUUCUUUUCGUUUUCACAAGUCUUCGUCAAAAAAAUCCAAGUCAACUGUCGUGUUCAUCUUCACUUACGUUGCGUGUAAAUAAAUUAAUUGAAUUGACACAACCUCAGCAGAAAUUGAUUUCUCUAUUCUUCUUGGUUCUUCUGUUUGUUGUUGAGUUAGGCUGGCUAAUGGCGAAUCUAGAAAUUUGAAUCAGCACGAGCGGACGUCGACCGUAUUAAAUAGUGAUUUAAUGGAGAAUGUGUGGUUAAAAAUAAGGAUAAGUUUUGAAUUGUGUGUAAUAUUAUUUUAUUUAAAAAUGUGUGGUUAAAAAUACAAGAGAGAAAAAUAUAUUUUAAAAUAAAUGGGAAUCAAACAAGGUUUAAAAUUUAAAUACAAUAAUUUAUUUUGUUGAAUUUUUGUAAUUGCAUUAAAACCGCUUAAAUCUAAUAUAUAUAUUUUUUGUUUAAAUACUACCACAAAUCAAUAGUUGCCUUAGUGGUCACAUUCUCAACAAGUUGAACUAAACUUCGCAGGUUUGAAUCUCGUUGGCACCAGUUAUUAUUACAUUAAUUUUUGUAAAAAUAGUAUAAUUAAAAAUAUUUGUACUAUACAUUCAGUUGGCUAAAAAAAAUUUGAACCCGGGACCUCAAGGAUGUGUGUGCAAGCUCUAGCCAACCUGCCCUGAAGAAAUGUUGGAGAUAAAAGUAAAUUAUCAAUAAUAUAAUAUAAAUCAUUAACUGUCAACAACAAAAAAAAGGGCGAUCGACGGAUCCAGCACACGCGGCCAUGGGAGCUCGCCAGGUGCUGGAUCCACCACUGGCUGGCAUGGUUUUCUCAUGUAGCGCUGCUUCCAAUUUAGUUGUUUAUAUCUCUCUGUUGUUGGGUAAUUGCCUCAAAAGUCAUAAGUUGGAGGACUUUUAUUACAUAUAGUAAAAUGUAGUUAUUGUAUGGAAGACUUCUAAUUAAAGUUGAGAGCCUUGCAAAAUUUGUUCUCCAAUUUACGAUCGAUUUUGGAGUAUUGCACAUUAAGAAAUUCUUGUUGAGUUAAACGAGUCUUGUUUGAGUUUAAAUUGAACUCUUCUACUUGAUUAUUGAUCCUAUAAAUAAUGGAUGUACUUCAUUAUUUUAGGUGUGGCUAGAGAGUUGAUUUGACAGGAAAAUAUUGUGAGUCUAGUAUCUUGAUAUUUAUCUUACAUUGAGUAGAAAAGUAGGUGUAGUAAAGCUUGAGUAUGUUUAUUUUUCUUUGUAAUACUUGGGGAUUGGGUUGAUGAGUGAAAUUCUAUAUGAUUGUAACAAUUUUUCAUAUAGUGAAAUUCUAUAUGAUUGUUUAUUUUUCUUUGUAAUACUUGGGGAUUGUGUAUUAUAUUCUUUAUUUUUCAUGUUUGCUAAUAUUCUUUUGAACAACAAAAGAUCUUGCAGGUAAAUAGAAAUAAAGGGAAUCGGCAUGAAAUUCUCAACAAGUGGUAUCAUAGCAUCAAGUGGUUUGGAGUAUUGGAGCAAUAGAAAAAUAUGUCGUCGUUAAAAUAUAACAUGGAGAAAUUUGAUAAGAGAAUCAAUUUUGACUUGUAAUAAGUACAAGUGGAGGAUUUAUUGAUUCAAGCUGGACUAUAUAAGGCUUUGAAAGGAAACCCAACUAAGAGUUUUAGCAAGAUUGACAACUCCAUGAGGAAGAAAGUAACUUAUUGGAACUACCGUCAGACUGGCCACGUGAAGAGAAAUUGUCCAAAAGGUGGAGCAAGGUCGACUAACUGCUUGGGGAUCGAACAAUACGUCUUUCCUGAUGAAGGAGGAUGCGGAUGUGGUGUUGUAAAGUAAGAUGGGAAUAUCCUCAUAGCAUGUCGUCAGUUGCCAUAAUAGAGGAUGUGUUCUUACUGGUGCGGGUCAACAUAUAGGCACAUAGCAUUGACUGACAUUUGAUGCAAAGUGUGCAGGUAUGUGGUGGUAUUGUAAUAUCGAUGGCUGAUGAACUCUCUAGAAAAGUCAAUGGGAGAGUUGCACCAUAACUAUCAGCAGGGUUAUUUCGACAUGUAACCGAUAAAAUGCUUGAAGUUCACAAAUAAUUCUAAGUGGUUAUGCUCAUAGAGUGGAGUAUGGAACCGUUAAAGUGUGUCAAAGGCUUACCUAUUUUUCCAAAUAUUGUGAUUAAAAGUUGUAGAAGAGAUAACGAGAUUUUGACUCAUAUUCGGUAAGGUGUAGAUUGUUGGAUAAUUGCCUCAGAAGUCAAAAGUUGGAGGAUUUAUAUUGCAAAUAAUAAAAAUGUAGUUAUUGUAUGGAAGAUUUCUAAUUAAAAUUGAGAUCAGAAUCCUUGCAAAAUUUAGUCUUCAAUUUACAAUCAAUUUUGAAGUCUUGCACACGAAGAAAUCCUCAUUGAGUUAAAAGAGUAUUGUUUGAGUUUAAAUUAAACUCUUCUAUUUGGUUCUUGAUCCUAUAAAUAGUGGAUGUAUUUCAUUAUUUUGAAUGUAGCUAGAGAGUUUAUCUGAGAGAAAAAUAUUGUGAGCCUAGCAUCUUGAAACUUUUUGUACAUUGGGUAAAAAAGUAGGUAUAGUAAAACUCGACUUUUUUUUUUUUUUUUUUUAAUAUUUUGAAAUUUUAUAUGAUUGUAACAAUUUUUCAUAUAUUGAAAAGUUUUAAUAGUCUGUUUAAUUUGUGCGUUAUAUUCUUUAUUUUUCAUGUUUGCUAAUAUUCUCUUGAACAACUAAAGAUCAUGCGGGUAAAUAUAAAUAAAAAGAAUUGGUGUGAAAUUCCCAACAAGUGUUGGGCCGGAGACUUGUUGGGUGGUUUUGAAUCUCUCUCACUCCAAAAGUUACUUCAAGAGAUGAUGCUUUCCCUCACAAUUAUAAACUGAAUGCCAACUCAUCUAGAACUAAUGUGAUAUAACCUCAACAAUCUCCUCCUUACACAUCGGACUUUGUGGGAGACUAAACACAUCUCCUCCUCACACAAACCCGUAUCUCCAUGACUAUUGGAUUGAAGACUUAUUGAUAAAUCGGGCUCUGAUACCAGUGUUGGGUGGUAUUGAACCUCUCACACUCCAAAAACUAGCUCAAGAUGUGAGAUUUUUCCUCGUACUUAUAAACUGAAUACCAACUCAUCCACAACUAAUGUGGAACGACCUCAACAUCUGUUUCAUCUAUAUAUCCAUCAUUUGAUUGAUUCACAAUGUCCAAGGUAGUUCUAGUGUGGAAAUCUUGGCAAUUUGAAAUUUCCUCUGGCCAAUUCUUCAGGAUGUGGAUUGUUCACGGUUCACUGCAGUGCUCGGCUGAAUCCAAAAAUUCCCCUGGAUAAUUAUAGGCCCUAUGAGAUUCUGAAAAAGUCAUAUCCCAAUCAGUUAUUUAUUCGAAAUCAAUUUCUUCAUCGUGUUUUAUAUAGUAAUAAUUAUGAGGAAAGGUGCCACUUAUUUUUUGAUCCCCCUACGCUACUCCUUCUAUUUCGAUUUCAUUCUUCCCCAAUAUCACUUUGUUCGGAUGCACCAAAGAUAGGAACUACGACAAUGAGAUACCUAAUAUCCAAGAAAUUUAAUUCUUAAGUUACAACAACCAGAACCAUAGAACUUUAUAUUCUAAGACCUAGAAUCGAUUUGAAACAGAACCAAAGCGAACUAGCUGAUUUUACUUGGUUCUAGAUCGUUGGUCUUGGAUAAAAUUUCAUGCACUUAGGUAACAUAUUAUAUUACUUAUAUGGUAAUUACCUGUUUUAUAUGUUGGGUAACUUAUUGGGAGUAAUUAUGUUAUCGAUGUUAACUCCUAUCAUCAAUAUCAAUAUCAAUAUCAAUAUCAGAUUGCAGCCCCAAAAUGUGAGUACCACCAUUAUUGUCACUCUAAACCACCACCUUCUAAACAGUCAAAAUCAGCACCACCAUAUCCUCCAACCACUGCUACGCCAACAUAAAACCAUAACUAUCACGAUGGAAAGCUUUAGAAACACAAUAAUGAUUCCAAUAUGAAAAUAUUUGAUGAAUGGUAGUUGUGUUUGUUGCACGAAGUUUACGAUGAUAAAAUUGGAGAAGCGAUAAAUGUUGAGAAUGGUGAGUUUGGUGGCAAUUGGAUUGAGAUUCCAGUAACGGUGGCGGUAUAAGACAACAACAAUGUGGGAGCUUUUUGGUACAAUGGCGGAGAAGAUAACGAGAGGAGGUCGUUGAUUUGAGAAUUUUGAAUUGGGUGUGAUACGUUGCGACAGUGAUCCAACAUUAUUGGGGUGCUAGUUUGGAAUAAUGUUAUUUAUUAUUAUGAUGACGGAACAUCAAUGAUGUGGUAGUCUAUAUGAAAUAAUGGGAUUGGACAGUCUAAUUUUUAUGAAAGAGGAGAGAGGAGAUGUGGUCUCAAGAAAGAGAGAAAUGUGAGAGAUAAUGGGUUGUCGUAUCAUUGAUAUUCCAUCAUCAUGGUGAUAAAUAACAUUACUCGCUAGUACAGUGUUUUGUUGGAUAGGAAUUUGACAAGAAUGAAGGCAUGUUUGAAACUUUUUAAAUUAGAACUCUUUAUUUCUCAUAUUCAUUUUCAUUCACACAUUAAAAUAUUAUGUAGUAAACAAAAAAAAAAAUUCCUAUAUUUUAAUCACAUAUUUUUCAAAAAAUUACUAUUUGAAACAUCAUUUUCCUCCAAUUUCUAUUUAUAGUUUUCAUCAAACAGGGGCUUAGAAUAAGUUUAUAUAUAUAUAUAUAGUUACAGGUAAAAAUCUGUAAAACAUAAAAGGGAGUUAUUUUUUCAAUUUUCGCAAGAAAAGUGAGUCUCCAACCUUAGAACAUAUCUAAUGGACUUAAAGAUUAUAUUUUAAAAUUUAGAGAUCAUCUAUAAAUUUAGAGAUUAAAACUCCAACUUACUCUUUACUUUAAUACUUAAUACUUAAUUUACUACUUAAUAUGUAUUUAUUAUUUUUCACAUAUAUUUUAUUUUCGCUAGCUUCCCUUCAAAGUAUUUUAUUAUUUUCCUUCAUUUUCUUUGUAUAUACUACUUAAUUGGGUGCAUUGAAAUUGAAGUAUUUUGGAUUGGGAAAACUCAAACAAAGAGAAAUAAGGUCAGACAUUUCACAUUUGAAUAGUUGAUUUGUGAUUGUGACACUACCUACCUCAUACGAUGGAAAUUUGCUUAAAAUUACUUUUUUAAUUGCCGUACAGUAAAAAUGUAAAAUUCAAGGAAGUAACUAUCGUUUAAUUUUCCACCACAAUUGGAAAUGACACGAAGAGUGGGGCCUUGAAGUUGUUUCUGACUCGUAGGAAUACAAAAAAAUUCGUUGGAUACGAAACUUCGCUCAUCCGUGUUAUUUGUUUAGGCUGACUGUUUCAACUCAAUUCUUUUCGUUUUCACAAGUCUUCAUGAAAUAAAUCUAAGUCAACUGCCGUGUUCACUUUCACCCUGACUUACGUUGCGAGUGAAUAAAUUUAUUGAAUUUAGACAACCGCAGCAGAAUUUGAUUUCUCUAUUCUUCUUCUUCUUCUUCUUCUUCUUCUUCUUCUUCUUUCUGUUCGUUGUUGAGUUAGGCUGGCAUGGUUUUCUCCCGUAGGGCUGCUUCCAGUUUAGUUGUUUAUGUCUUUCUGUUUCAUAUAUAUAUCCUUCACUCGGUUGAUUCUCAAUGCCCAAGGCAGUUCCAAUGUGGAAAUCUUGGCAAUUUGGAGUUUCCUCUGGCCAAUUCUCCGGGAUGUGGAUUGUUACCGGUUGACUGCGGUGCUCUGCCGAAUCCAAUAAUUCACCUGGAUAAUUAUCCGUUUUCACCAUCCUAUGAGAUUCUGAAAAAGUCAUCUCCCAAUGAAUUAUUUAUUCGAAGUCCAUUUCUUGAACGUGUUUUACAUAAUAAGGAAAUAUGCAAUUUAUUUCUUCGUCCCCCUAUGCCACACUUUCCUUCUAUUUCGAUGUCGUUCUUCCCCAAUAUCACUCUCUUUAAAUGCGCAAAAUAUAUAAACUACGACAAUGAGAUACCUCAAGAUAUUUAUGGAAACUACGAUGGUUGUGAUUCCUUCAAUAUAUACUACCCCAAGUCGAAUGGAAGUCUUCCGCCCCCCAAAGGCUGUUCAGCUCUUCCCUUGCCAAGCAAUUUACAAUGUAACUCAGAUUCAUUGGACUUGUUCUACCGGUUAAGCGCUGAUUAUCAUCUAGAAUGGAAUGUGUCUGUAGAUUGUCUUAAUUGCCACAGAGGAGGAGGAAACUGUACAACUAAAACAGAUAAUGAAUUUCGAUGUGAAAAAGGUACCAUCAGCCUUUGAACAUGGGUGAUCGCAAGUCAUCCCUCUACAAAUGUUCUUUUGAUUUGUACUUUUGCCCGCAAUCCAGAACAGGGUUCAAGCGAUUUAAACUUUAAAACAUAUAGAAUUGUUUGAUUAUAUGUCACUGACAAUUUAUCACGUGAUCGCUUUAUGCCAAUCCUCACGAGUACAGUUGAUUAUAUCCUUCCCUUAUAUAGAUAUGUUCUUCAUGCCUUGUUGCGGUUUUCAUUUUUCUUUCUUCAAUUGAGCUUGAACUGACAUGUUUGCACGUUGACUAUAGUUACAAAGAAAAGGAGGGAUUUCAAGAUGAUUCUAGCCGCAGGUAAACGUGGUAAAUUUCAGUAACAUUUCUUUUGUUUUUUGAUUAAAAAACGUAGUUGUCUUCUUUCAUCACAGGUGUUUUAGCUGCAGCGGUAGUCCUCAUCUUCAUAAUCUUGUUCACUUUCACUAGGAGGAAUUACAUGCUGAAUUUGAAGGGGAAAACUCAAAACCAAAAGGACAUUGAACUCUUCCUGAAGAACAACGAGAAGCUUACACCAAAAAGAUACAACUAUUCUGAUCUUAAGAAAAUGACUAACUCAUUCAGUGACAAGUUAGGGAAAGGUGGCUUUGCUAGUGUUUAUAAGGGAAAGUUACCCGAUGCCCAUCUUGUAGCAGUAAAGAUUUUGGAAGAAUCAAAAGGCAAUGGAGAAGAAUUUAUCAAUGAGGUAGCAAGUAUCAGUAGAACUUCCCACGUUAAUGUUGUCACUCUCCUGGGAUUUUGCUUUGAGGGUUCCAAAAGAGCUCUCAUUUACGAGUUCAUGCCCAAUGGAUCCCUUGAGAAGUUCAUAUGCAGCAAUAUCUCCAAAGCAGAACGUCAAUUAGAAUGGGAAAAAUUGUUUCAAAUUGUAGUUGGCAUUGCUCAUGGAAUAGAAUACUUACACAAAGGAUGUAAUACACGGAUUCUGCACUUUGACAUAAAGCCUCAUAACAUUCUUCUUGAUAAAGACUUCAUCCCUAAAAUAUCGGAUUUUGGCUUGGCUAAACUUUGUCCCAACAGGUCCAGUAUAGUGUCAAUGUUAGGGACUAGAGGAACAAUAGGAUAUAUUGCUCCAGAAAUAGUUUAUAGAAAUGUUGGAGACAUUUCUUACAAGUCAGAUGUCUAUAGCUAUGGUAUGAUGGUUUUGGAAAUGGUUGGAGAGACAAAAAAUACUGAUGUUAGAGUUGAUCGUUCAAGUGAAAAAUAUUUUCCUGAUUGGAUCUAUGAGCACCUCGAACAGAAUUUUGAAUUUGAUUUUAACCGAGUUGUAAACGAAGAUGAAGUUUUGAAAAAGAAAAUGGUAAUAGUUAGCUUAUGGUGCAUACAAACUGAUCCUACAACUCGACCAUCAAUGAACAGGGUUAUAGAAAUGUUAGAAGGGAAUGUGGAAUCUCUUCAAAUCCCACCAAAACCCUACUUUUUACAGCCAAGAGCAGCAGCAAAUUUUUCAACUACUGAGUCGUCAGUCACUCUCUCCUAAGUUCA